rnacentral:rRNA from 1 species
CCUACGGGAGGCAGCAGUGAGGAAUAUUGGUCAAUGGAAGAGAGUCUGAACCAGCCAAGUAGCGUGAAGGAUGACUGCCCUAUGGGUUGUAAACUUCUUUUAUAUGGGAAUAAAACAGGGUAUGCAUACCCUCUUGUAUGUACCAUAUGAAUAAGGAUCGGCUAACUCCGUGCCAGCAGCCGCGGUAAUACGGAGGAUGCGAGCGUUAUCCGGAUUUAUUGGGUUUAAAGGGCGCGUAGGUGGAUUGUUAAGUCAGUUGUGAAAGUUUGCGGCUCAACCGUAAAAUUGCAGUUGAAACUGGCAGUCUUGAGUACACGAGAGGUGCGCGGAAUUCGCGGUGUAGCGGUGAAAUGCUUAGAUAUCACGAAGAACUCCGAUUGCGAAGGCAGCUCACUGGCCUCAAACUGACACUGAUGCUCGAAAGUGUGGGUAUCGAACAGGAUUAGAUACCCGUGUAGUC